rfam:Triticum aestivum genome assembly, contig: Triticum_aestivum_CS42_TGACv1_scaffold_409180_5BL
UGUGUACUCCCUCCGUUCCAAAAUACUUGACUUCCAUUUGUCCAAAAAUGGAUGUACCUAUAUACUAAAACAUGUCUAGAUACAUAUAUAUUUUGACAAAUAGAAGGCAUGUAUUGUGCAACAGAGGGAGUAGAAU